AUAAAUGCGUUCUUAUGUAAAACUACCAUGUUUUGCUACCCGUUAACAAUUCGUCAGCUGUCAAGUAAAACUUAAGCACUCAGCCCGCAGGCACUCGCAAAUUCUUCGAGCUUGCAUUUAUUUUUUAUAAUAUUAUACUACCUUAUUUUAAUAUGGACUUGUAACCACAGGGAACAUACAAAAGUAUUCACAAAACAUUUGUAAACUGCUGCAACGGCAAAUGUGCAAAAUUAUAAGAAGAAAAAAUAACUCAUCUGUUCAUCAUUAAAGUGUAAUUUAUAAAAGCUUUGACUUUCGAAAUAAAAAAAAUAAAAACGGCAACAAUAAAAUGUGCGGUGUGUGUGUGGCGGCUGACGAAAGAUGACCAAACCAUGUAUAAGCGGUCAUUGUCUGAGCGCAUGCGUACGUUAUACUCUACAUAUCUGCCGUUCAAAUGUAAUGUACGUGUGUGUUUUGUUUUAACGUCAAGUAGGCAGAAGUUGUGGUCGUGUAUUUUGAAUGACUGACACUUUGCGGUUAAACGCUGGCGACUGUGGAUCUUAUGUGUCUAUAGAUAUAUACAUACAUACAUAUAUAAAUAUGUGUGUUUUUCAAUAUAAGUGACGAAUCGAAUAAGCAGCUGGCAUACAUCAUACACAUAAGUACUGACAUGAUACGAGUUAUAACGGAAGAGAGUGAGUAAGAAAUGAGCUUCUAUAUAUAAAUUUUGUUACGAAUAAGGAGAGGUCAAAAACAUGAACAAAUAAUGGAAAAUUAAAAACAAAGGCUUCUUAAAAACAUGUAGUUUUUGUAGCGAUGUAAAAAAUAUAUAAUAAAGCUAUCUAUUUCUAUAAAAUAAUUAGUUUCGAAGGGACACGGAGGAACAGAUGAAUUUACGUAUAUAUAAAUGUGAAAUUAAUUUGUAAGAGCCUUUAUAUCAUGGAAAGAGCAUUGGCUAUUUGUGUUGCGAAUACAUUUCUGAGGGCAUAUAAACCAACAAAGUUUUCAAAAGUUAUCAGCAACUGAGAAGUAGAAUCUAGAAGCUGCACCAAAUGCCAAUCACUUUUUAAAGAACUAGUAGUAAUCUAGUUGAAAAACAUUUUCUAAUCUAGAACUCUGCAAUAUAUACUAUUGGUGUGAUAUUUUUCUUAAAAAUAACUUUUUAUUAAAACUGUUUUUCUAAACUAGAAAUUGAAUUAUUAAAUAUAUACCUACACUACUACUACUGACAAUAAUCUGAGAUGUAUUUAGGAAAUUACAAAUCUUGCAGAAUUUUGUGCGGAACAAAUAUUUACACUAUUUACUAAAUAAAAAUAUAUUAUUAUUAAAUAUAAAUCAUAAAUAUGUAUUAUAUAAACACCUAUGUAUGUAUGUAUGUACAAGGGGCACAACUAAUAUGAUCACUUAAAAAAGGCUUUUUUCAAGGUAGUCUGGUAACUUAUGCCUAUUUUCAUGACUUCUUUGGAGGGUGG